AAAACUGCUGUAGACAUAGUAGCUAAGAAAGACAACACAAUUAAAGAUGUAACUCAGGUUCUUGCUGAGUCAGCGCCGAUUAUCGAACGUCCUGUGCAGGACGCAGUUUUGAUAACAGUAAAAACCUUAACUGGAAUGAGUUAUGCAGUUGAUGUUAGGUUAACUAAUACAAUAAGUGAUGUAAAGGAAAAGGUUCACAAGAAAACAGGAAUACCUCCUGACCAACAGAGUCUAUCCUUUAGAAAUAAAAUUCUCCGGAAUCACCUCACAGUUUUUGAUUACAAUAUUGAGAUGGGAUCAACUAUAAAUGUCCGCAUACAUAUGCGUGAAAAAUAGGAUACCACCGAGACAAGCAAAAACUAGGAUAGCGAGAAAACAUAUUUUCCAUAAAAAAGACAAAUUCAGCUAAAAAUAACUUUAUUCCAAAAAUUUGUGUGAAUACAUACGAUCUAAGUCUUUUUCACCUUGCAAUAAUAUAACAUUUGACUUGUCUACAAUGUAAACAAGUAUUCUCCAUACCAAACCUAGAAACAGGUUUUGAUCAAACUUGAUUUCAUGAAAAAAGAAUGUUCAACGUAGUAUCAAAUAUCUUGAUUUAGUGAAGAAAAUAUCAGACUUUGUACAAAAUUACACUGAUCAAACCAAAAACUUCUGAAACUGACUUGUUCAAAACGCUUGAUUUCUUGAAUUGGAUCAUAUUGGCCUCAUUUGGAGAACUCGUUUCAAAGCAUGCAAUCAUCAUUCCUAGGGAAACUAUGGAUCAGCUGUCGUAUGUGGAACUCUUACAUUGCGUUACGUGGUUUUAUUAUUACUAAAUGAUAUUUUGCCUUUAAAUAACAUGGUUUUGACAUUACCGAGACAACAUAAUGAUGUUUUGAGAUAGUUUAACCAUUAUUUAAUGUGGUUGGUGUCAUUAGGCAAUGUGGUUUUAACAUUACUUGAUGUGUACAUGGAUUAACGUAAUGAUGUUGUUUCAUUAUAUGAUGUGGUUUUGUUAUUUGGUAAUGGUGACUUGUUAAUUCUUAUUAGCGAUUUCCAAUAAAAUGACAUUA